ensembl:snRNA U6 U6 spliceosomal RNA
UCGCUUUGGCAGCAAAUAUACUAAAACUGGAAUUAUACAAAGAAGAUUAGCAUGGCCCUAUGCAAGGAUAAUGUGCAAAUUUGUGAAGGCUUCCUUUCCUUU